rnacentral:tRNA from 1 species
ACCUGAUUGACUCAGUUGGUUAAGCACCUGACUUCAGCUCAGGUCAUAAUCUCGCAGCUCAUGAGUUCAAGUCCCAUAUCAGGUU